UCUGUCUCUUGAACUUGCAAUGGAUAUUUCUCAGGCAACUGGGAACCCAAUUCCUCACGUUUUAUAGCAAUGCCAUUGGGGGUGGUGGUUGUGGUGGAGAUUGUGGUGGUGUUAGCGUGUGAAGUUGGUGCUUUUUGUUUCUGUUCAUAAAGUGAUGUUUGUUUGGUCAUUUGCAGCGAAGCCAUAUAGCACCUAUGCAACUUGGCUGUCAAAGUUGCCGAGAGA
rnacentral:misc_RNA from 1 species